UACGGGGGGAGCAAGCGUUGUUCGGAUUUACUGGGCGUAAAGAGCGCGCAGGCGGUCGUUCAAGUCGCGUGUGAAAGCCCCCGGCUCAACUGGGGAGGGUCACGCGAUACUGAUCGACUGGAAGGCAGGAGAGGGUAGUGGAAUUCCCGGUGUAGUGGUGAAAUGCGUAGAUAUCGGGAGGAACACCAGUGGCGAAGGCGACUACCUGGCCUGUUCUUGACGCUGAGGCGCGAAAGCUAGGGGAGCAAACGGG
rnacentral:rRNA from 1 species